rnacentral:rRNA from 1 species
CUCUUGCCUCACAUAAGAGGUCCAGCCUGCCCAGUGAAAUUUUAACGGCCGCGGUACCCUGACCGUGCGAAGGUAGCAUAAUCACUCGUUCUCUAAAUGGGGACUUGUAUCAAUGGCAUCACGAGGGUCACACUGUCUCCUCUCUCCAAUCAGUGAACCUAAUCUCCCCGUGAAGAAGCGGGGUUACACCCAUAAGACGAGAAGACCCCAUGGAGCUUUAAACCUUAAAGCAAUUUAAAUAAAAUAUUUCCACAUAUACUUUAUAUAUGCAUGAAAGUUUUGGGUUGGGGUGACCGCGGAGCAAAAACUAACCUCCACAACGAAAAGAACUAAACCUUUAUCUAAGAACUACUAUUCUAAGAAUCAACAUACUGACGAAUACUGAUCCGAUAAUCGAUCAAUGAACCAAGUUACCCUGGGGAUAACAGCGCAAUCUACUUCGAGAGCUCAUAUCGACAAGUAGGCUUACGACCUCGAUGUUGGAUCAGGGUAUCCCAGUGGUGCAGCCGCUACUAAUGGUUCGUUUGUUCAACGAUUAAACCCC